rnacentral:lncRNA from 9 species
GACAGAGCCUGCGAGGUUUCAGCACCUGCUCCUCUGGGCCCUCCCCCACAACCUGCCCUCUCUCCUCCUCCCAGGGGGCAAGUUCAUGGUGAACCUUCCCUCAGGAAGCUGAGCACAGGCUGCUUGUGGAAAAGCCAACAAACAGAGGGGGGGCCCAGGCCGCAGCCCCCUUGGGACAGCAGCACUGAGGGUGCUCGAGGGCAGCUCCAGCCUGGGCCCUUCCAGAAGGACCCUCCCCAUCUCCGUCUACAUCUACGCCCAGGGAGGUCAAAGGCAUCAGGAAAGGUGCAUGGGCCAAGAAGCCCCAGGACCACAGGUCCAGAAACUGAGAUGACGGAGGCCAGGAUUCCAGGAAGGGGACACAUGAGGACAGGCUUCCUGGUUUCCAGCGGGGAGAGGCCAUGAGGCCAUCCCCCUCAGCAGGUGGGGCUUGGGGUGGGGGGGCACCGUGACCCUUCACUUCCCUGCUGGCCCACCCUCUGUCCGGCAGACACACGUCUCUUUUCCUUGACCACGGGCGGGGGCUGCCCCCUGGACUGGGCCCCGUUCCUUGAUCCUGUGUGGGAGGCUCUGGUGAGAAAGGGAGCUGGUAACGGGGGGUGGGGGUGAGGGGACACACAUCAGAGACUGGGGGCGCGGCGCGGGGACUCCAACUUGCAGAGGGAGGGGUGGACACUCAACAAAGACCUGGGUCCUGUUGUUUUAAAUAAGAAAUUUAUUGCAAAUAUAGAAAUUGAUUCUCUCCAUACAGGAAUCUCCAAGUUGAGGAAAACAAUUUCGUGCCAUUCAGUUUAAAAUAGGAAAUUGGGAGGGAGAGGCAGAUACAGGGAAGAGAAAAUAAAUGAAGUCACCCCCCCACCCUGAAAAGAAGAAAAGGAGCGUACAUCCCCCCCCACCCAAGGAGGAAAAGGUCCGGUCCACACAGCGAAGGUUCACAGGUUCGUAGCCCGGGGGCCCGGAGCCCAACUCUGCAGGACCCAAACCAGGUGCCAAGCCGCGAGGCAGGGCCGAGGGGCUGGUGGCUCCUCGGGGAGGGAAGGAGCGAGCGAGGGUGGACCCCUC